rnacentral:rRNA from 1 species
GUGGGGAAUAUUGGGCAAUGGGCGCAAGCCUGACCCAGCAACGCCGCGUGAAGGAAGAAGGCUUUCGGGUUGUAAACUUCUUUUACCAGGGACGAAACAAAUGACGGUACCUGGUGAAUAAGCCACGGCUAACUACGUGCCAGCAGCCGCGGUAAUACGUAGGUGGCGAGCGUUAUCCGGAUUUAUUGGGUGUAAAGGGCGCGUAGGCGGGACUGCAAGUCAGAUGUGAAAUGCAGGGGCUUAACCCCUGAGCUGCAUUUGAAACUGUGGUUCUUGAGUGAUGGAGAGGCAAGUGGAAUUCCUAGUGUAGCGGUGAAAUGCGUAGAUAUUAGGAGGAACACCAGUGGCGAAGGCGGCUUGCUGGACAUUAACUGACGCUGAGGUGCGAAAGCGUGGGGAGCAAACAGGAUUAGAAACCCGUGUAGUCC